rnacentral:rRNA from 1 species
ACCCCGCACAAGCGGUGGAUCAUGUUGUUUAAUUCGAUGAUACGCGAAGAACCUUACCAGGUCUUGACAUCCCCCGCAAUGCUCUGGAGACAGAGCGGAGGUAUCCGGGGAGACAGGUGGUGCAUGGUUGUCGUCAGCUCGUGUCGUGAGAUGUUGGGUUAAGUCCCGCAACGAGCGCAACCCCUACGUUUAGUUGCUAACAGGUGAAGCUGAGCACUCUAGACGAACUGCCGUUGACAAAACGGAGGAAGGUGGGAUGACGUCAAAUCAUCAUGCCCCUUAUGUUCUGGGCUACACACGUGCUACAAUGGCCGGUACAGACGGAGGCGAAGCCGCGAGGCGGAGCAAAUCCGAAAAAGCCGGUCUCAGUUCGGAUUGCAGGCUGCAAUUCGCCUGCAUGAAGUCGGAAUCGCUAGUAAUCGCAGGUCAGCAUACUGCGGUGAAUACGUUCCCGGGCCUU